rnacentral:rRNA from 1 species
AGCGGUGAAAUGCGUAGAUAUAUGGAGGAAUACCGGUGGCGAAGGCGGCCUCCUGGCUCGAUACUGACGCUGAGGUGCGAAAGCGUGGGGAUCAAACAGGAUUAGAUACCCUGGUAGUCCACGCCGUAAACGAUGUCUACUAGCCGUUGGGAGACUUGAUUUCUUAGUGGCGCAGCUAACGCAAUAAGUAGACCGCCUGGGGAGUACGGCCGCAAGGUUAAAACUCAAAUGAAUUGACGGGGGCCCGCACAAGCGGUGGAGCAUGUGGUUUAAUUCGAUGCAACGCGAAGAACCUUACCAGGUCUUGACAUCCUCGGAACUAUCCAGAGAUGGAUGGGUGCCUUCGGGAACCGAGAGACAGGUGCUGCAUGGCUGUCGUCAGCUCGUGUCGUGAGAUGUUGGGUUAAGUCCCGUAACGAGCGCAACCC